rnacentral:rRNA from 1 species
UCCGAAUGGGGAAACCCAACUGCAUAAGCAGUUACUGUUAACUGAAUACAUAGGUUAACAGAGCAAACCGGGGGAACUGAAACAUCUAAGUACCCCGAGGAGAAGAAAUCAACCGAGAUUCCGGUAGUAGCGGCGAGCGAACCUGGAUUAGCCCUUAAGCACUCGGUGAAGUAGGUGAACAAGCUGGAAAGCUUGGCGAUACAGGGUGAUAGCCCCGUAACCGACGCUUCAUCGAGCGUGAAAUCGAGUAGGGCGGGACACGUGAUAUCCUGUCUGAAUAUGGGGGGACCAUCCUCCAAGGCUAAAUACUCCUGACUGACCGAUAGUGAACCAGUACCGUGAGGGAAAGGCGAAAAGAACCCCUGUGAGGGGAGUGAAAUAGAACCUGAAACCGUGUACGUACAAGCAGUAGGAGCACCUUCGUGGUGUGACUGCGUACCUUUUGUAUAAUGGGUCAGCGACUUAUAUUCAGUGGCAAGGUUAACCGUAUAGGGGAGCCGUAGCGAAAGCGAGUCUUAACUGGGCGCUCAGUCUCUGGAUAUAGACCCGAAACCGGGUGAUCUAGCCAUGGGCAGGUUGAAGGUUGAGUAACAUCAACUGGAGGACCGAACCGACUAAUGUUGAAAAAUUAGCGGAUGACUUGUGGCUAGGGGUGAAAGGCCAAUCAAACUCGGAGAUAGCUGGUUCUCCCCGAAAGCUAUUUAGGUAGCGCCUCGGACGAAUACUACUGGGGGUAGAGCACUGUUAAGGCUAGGGGGUCAUCCCGACUUACCAACCCUUUGCAAACUCCGAAUACCAGUAAGUACUAUCCGGGAGACACACGGCGGGUGCUAACGUCCGUCGUGGAGAGGGAAACAACCCAGACCGCCAGCUAAGGUCCCAAAGUAUUGCUAAGUGGGAAACGAUGUGGGAAGGCUCAGACAGCUAGGAUGUUGGCUUAGAAGCAGCCAUCAUUUAAAGAAAGCGUAAUAGCUCACUAGUCGAGUCGGCCUGCGCGGAAGAUGUAACGGGGCUAAGCAAUACACCGAA